UAAUUAUAAAAAGCCCAGUGCACAAAGAUGCAUUGUCUCUUACUCACUGGUAAAAGCAUUUAUUUUCAUGGUUGUAAAUUUGUAAAUUUUACACAUCCCAUCUGUAGCUUGUGUAGAAGGUGAAUAGAAAAAAAUGUUUUAAAAGUGAAAAAUUUAGCUUUGAAGACUUGAGAAAUCAGAUAGUUAGAUAAGGGAAUGGCAGAGCCGUGGCCUUUGAAAACACAGUGAGAUCAAAGUCAGAAUUUCCAGACAAAUGGAGAGAAAAAAAUAUUUUGUCCUAAAAUUGUUAAAUGAUAGUGACGUGUAAACAUGUUUUGCAGAAUGAAAAGCAAAAUAAUCUUCCUGAUUUAACAAAGUGGGCUUCUUGACCACGGAGGAGAAGGGAUGGGCUUUUUUGUUUAUUUGAUAAAGGUUUUAUAGAAUAUGCUAUUAUGGAACUGUUAGCUGGCCUCCCUUGUGGUCUGUGACUGAUUUGUGAGUUAGGCUUCUGAUCACUGACUGAUUACAGAAAGAAAAAUUUAAUUGUCAGUGGAUAAUUAUUCACUAUUUGAUUUUCUUUUAUCAGGCUCAAAAACUUUUUUGUGUGUAUUACGAUUUCUCCUGAUUCUUAGAGGGAUAUCAGAGCAUAUUUCCUGGAAGUGAGUUAAACCUGGCAGGAUAGCCUGUCUAAAUCUUGGUUAUUAAUAAUCUUCUUUUCAUCAUUUGUGGGCCCGGUACAAAUGGUGUCUUCACUCCUGAGGCAUGGUUUCAGUGCUCGGGUUAAUCAAAAGGGCCAGGUGACAGGCUGUGAGCCACGGGCACUGCCCGGCUCCACUGCGAAUGGUCCACCCAGCCAGGAAGUCAAGGGAAGGUUUGUAAUGGAAAUCAGGGUGGCUGAGACACUGAGCGCUUUGAUCUCCGCUAAUUUUGAUAGAGUUGAUAUCCAUCGAAUGACCCAGAACCUCUUUCCAAGUGCAAAAACCCAGGUUGCCUGGAAGUUGGAGGCUCAGAUUACUGUAAACUCCACGGGAUACCACUGACAGGGAGCUUAAUCUGCCUCCCCCAGUCCAAAGUGGGUGUUCCAUUUUGUAACGUACUUAGUGAAGCAUCUCUCUUACAGUCGGCUGCUGCUUGUGCCCAUGACUUGUGCUCGUGGCCCCAGGAAGGCGGCAGUCGGGUCCUCAACAGCUCCUUCAGGGGCUCUGAAUUCAAACAAACCCUUGUGGUGCGAAAGAAGGGGCUUCAGAGGCUGAGGAGGGGUCGGGACUCAGUCAGACGGCAGGGGCGAGCCUUUGAAAGGCAGUUACGGCCUCAUUCCUGGGAUUAAAAACUCACAUAAAAAGAGUUCUCUGGAGUAAAAGGGACCAUGAAAAGCUAAGUGAAAAAUAAAUACACAUUUACACCCAAAUUCUUGUAAAUUAUCAACCCGUUAGAGGCUGACCGACGUGUCACAGGGACCACAAAGGUUUGUACCAGGGGAUGACAAUGUGCUGUAUUGUUCCCCUCAACAGUUGAGCCAUAAAACAAAUGCAUAAUAAUUUCAGGCGCUCUUUUAUGGUGUCAGAAUUUCGUACAGGAAGUCCUCCCAAAGUGAAGUAACUACAGAUUUAACCAGAUAAUGUUUACCUCUUUACUUAUUGAAGUAUAACGAAGUUAAAGGUAAGAAGAAACCGUCUGUCUCCCAGCUGGGGAUGGGGAUGCAUUUUAAGGGGCAGGAGAGGAAGGUGUAGGUCCUCCCAAGCUCUCUGUGUCCUAGUGUGGCUCACAGAGAGGAAGGCGACCUCUGGGCCCUGGGUGCCCCCCGUCUGGUGAAAAUGCCCUUUGACUUUGCUUUUCCAUUUUUCCCUUAACUGGUGCUUUAUUACCGAACGCAGCGUAUGCUCAGGAUGGGAGGAUGCUGCAGACAAGUGUUCUGGGAGGCGAGGGAGUCAGCAAAGGGUCAUCUGGAAAAGCAACGGGGUGCAGUGGCUUGGCUGGGAUGGAGCCCGGGCUGUCACCAUGAACACAGGGCACCUGGAGGAGCAGCAGGCACUGCACUCCCGGACUCCAAUCCUCUGUCCAAGGAAUCCUUUCCAACUGCAAAGCCUCAGGCCUGCCUGGAAGGCGUCAGCGGGGGGAAGUUUGUGCUGGCCUCUGCAGCUCCCGCUCUGACCUCCGAAGACCUGUGGCUCCCACAUCGGCCCCUGGACCCAGGGCAGCCACACGCGAGUGGACCCUAGGCACGCUGGCAGACCCAUCAUCCUUCCCCUUGGAUUGCUGAAUCUCAGCCCACAGGGAUGUGUGCAGAAGGACAGCGGCAUCAUCUGUUGUCACCUUCAAGCCAAGCUGCUUGGUUCUCGGCACAUGAAAUUUUGUAAUGUGUGAC